rnacentral:rRNA from 1 species
UCCAGACUCCUACGGGAGGCAGCAGUGGGGAAUAUUGCACAAUGGGGGAAACCCUGAUGCAGCGACGCCGCGUGAGUGAAGAAGUAUUUCGGUAUGUAAAGCUCUAUCAGCAGGAAAGAAAAUGACGGUACCUGACUAAGAAGCCCCGGCUAACUACGUGCCAGCAGCCGCGGUAAUACGUAGGGGGCAAGCGUUAUCCGGAUUUACUGGGUGUAAAGGGAGCGUAGACGGUGAAGCAAGUCUGAAGUGAAAGGCGGGGGCUCAACCCCCGGACUGCUUUGGAAACUGUUUGACUGGAGUGCAGGAGAGGUAAGUGGAAUUCCUAGUGUAGCGGUGAAAUGCGUAGAUAUUAGGAGGAACACCAGUGGCGAAGGCGGCUUACUGGACCGAAACUGACGUUGAGGCUCGAAAGCGUGGGGAGCAAACAGGAUUAGAUACCCUAGUACC